AACGAACGCUGGCGGCAUGCCUAACACAUGCAAGUCGAACGAGAUCUUCGGGUCUAGUGGCGCACGGGUGCGUAACGCGUGGGAAUAUGCCCUUUGGUUCGGAAUAACAGUUGGAAACGACUGCUAAUACCGGAUGAUGACGAAAGUCCAAAGAUUUAUCGCCAGAGGAUGAGCCCGCGUAGGAUUAGCUAGUUGGUGUGGUAAAGGCGCACCAAGGCGACGAUCCUUAGCUGGUCUGAGAGGAUGAUCAGCCACACUGGGACUGAGACACGGCCCAGACCCCUACGGGAGGCAGCAGUGGGGAAUAUUGGACAAUGGGCGAAAGCCUGGUCCAGCAAUGCCGCGUGAGUGAUGAAGGCCUUAGGGUUGUAAAGCUCUUUUACCCGGGAUGAUAAUGACAGUACCGGGAGAAUAAGCUCCGGCUAACUCCGUGCCAGCCGCCGCCGUAA
rnacentral:rRNA from 1 species